rnacentral:rRNA from 1 species
GUACACUCCUACGGGAGGCAGCAGUGGGGAAUAUUGCACAAUGGGCGCAAGCCUGAUGCAGCCAUGCCGCGUGUAUGAAGAAGGCCUUCGGGUUGUAAAGUACUUUCAGCGGGGAGGAAGGCAAUACGGUUAAUAACCGUGUUGAUUGACGUUACCCGCAGAAGAAGCACCGGCUAACUCCGUGCCAGCAGCCGCGGUAAUACGGAGGGUGCAAGCGUUAAUCGGAAUUACUGGGCGUAAAGCGCACGCAGGCGGUCUGUCAAGUCGGAUGUGAAAUCCCCGGGCUCAACCUGGGAACUGCAUUCGAAACCGGCAGGCUUGAGUCUUGUAGAGGGGGGUAGAAUUCCAGGUGUAGCGGUGAAAUGCGUAGAGAUCUGGAGGAAUACCGGUGGCGAAGGCGGCCCCCUGGACAAAGACUGACGCUCAGGUGCGAAAGCGUGGGGAGCAAACAGGAUUAGAUACCCUAGUAGUCCCAUG